UUGUCAAUUCCAUGACCUCAUUUUAGUUAAAACUUUGUACGCAACACAACAUCAAAUCGAAAACCGCCGGGCGACGGCCACAGAAAUUGUAUCGCCGAGGGCCGGCCGACCUCGCUCCACAGUCCUCAUUCCAUGCCGUCAACCAUCUCAUCCGGACUGCGCCGGAUCCCAAUCCCUGCACCGCGUGUCGAUGCUUGCUUGGUUGUUUCUCCUCUACCGCUGGCAAGUAUCUCCACUCCCUCUCUCAGAUCCGUGCCCUCGCCCAGCCCGGCCACCACGACGGCGGUUUCGAUGGGUGGCUCAACCCCUAGCAAUUUCGGCGUCGUCCCCGGCCGCGGCGCUAGAGGUUUAUGAGCGGAGCAUUGCAACAGCGAGGGAGGAGCACUGGAGGAUGCCAGGAACAAGAUAAGCAAGGAUCUACGCUCCGCCUCGUCAAUCGACAUCCCCGGCCUCCUGCACAGCGAUGCCGGCGGCCGACACGACCGCACGAGCGUCUAACUACAUCGACAGGUCGUGCCACUGCCCCUAACUCGUGGUUACCUGCCCCAUGGAGCUUCUGGCCAAUUUUGAGUAAAUCGAUUCUAUUCUUUCCAUUUAUUGUACCAAAAUCUGCAAAAUUGAUCAUUGUGCAUGGAUGGAUCGGAUCUAGUAAAAUUGAUAUGUCAGGAUCAAGUUGUUCAUUUUUUCUGUUGGAACUGAUUCAUUUUGGUUGGAAUCCUUCAGAUGAGUUUGUACUGAUAAAUGUUUAGAGUUUUAGGAUUUAUUGGCUGAUGAAGAAUCUCUGAAAAAGUGGUAUAUAUGGCAGAGGCACUCUUUUCAAAUGCGCAUUGACUAUAUGGUCCAUAAUGCAGGCUUCGAAAGUCGUGUAUAUACCACCUUAUUUUUCUUACUGCUUAGUAUAGCUCCCUUCUUGACCAAACAAUAGUUCUAUUGUUACUAGUUCGCUAUGAAUACUAUCUGCGAGAUAUAUAUUGCUGCUUUUAGUCUUAUUGUACCAUAAUCAGUCUGUGUUGUUUGAAGCUGAACUGAUGCCAUGUCUGAAAAUUUGGUACCCUUUUCUAAUGCAUAUGUUCAGUCAAUCUUACAUAGGCUAUUUCGUAACUUAAUUAUAUGCCAUCACUGAUCCAGUCUAAACUUGUUUGAUUGUCUCUGCUGCUUUCAUUGUUGAUAGGCCACUAGGAUUUAAUUCAUAUCUUUUGUAAAUUAAGAUGUGACACACAGUUGAACCAAGCUCGCCUCAUAUAUUAUUUCUGCUGCCAUUGCAUCAGGAUCUUAUAACCUUUGUGCCCUAGCUACCUCACAUUCAUACUACUAGUCUGUGCUCUGCCUUGAGACUAGCUAACUGUGUUCAACAGCCUUAAGAAACAGGUAAUCUUCUGUUGAACCUUGUUAAUAUUUGAGACCCAUCUUGCUAUUACUACAUAUCAUAUAUUGAUCAAUCAUAGACUGCAAGAUGGCGGUUUAUUACUAUUUAACCAAGGGUGCUUAAUUUAAUAGUAAAAAUGAUUAUUUAUUUGCUUUCAUGUUAUAGUUCCAUCAACAUCUUUCUAGUCUCUACCCUAGUGCUAUGCUAGCAUUGCCAACUUUAGGUUGUCAGAUCAUUAUUUGGUUGACUACACGAGGCCUAAAGGUGCCACAAUCCCAAUUUUUGCUUAUCUUUUGUUGUUUGCUGUACAUGGGGAUCAAGAGGCAAAGGACUUCAUGGAAAAGAUAGUAGUUAUAUAUGUCAGAUUAUGAAGCCACUUUGUUGUACAGAUAUGUUUGUAUAUGCAUUGACACUACAAAUUAUGGAGUGCUAGGAGUUAGUCAUAUUUAUUGAUACAAUUCGGUGUACGCCAAAGAUAUUGCUUCUAAUUGUUUGAAUAAUGUGAUAUGGGAUGCUUCUCCAAAUUUAAUUCAUUAAUAUAAGCAAUUCAUUCUCUAA